rnacentral:rRNA from 1 species
UAAUACAGAGGGUGCGAGCGUUGUCCGGAAUUACUGGGCGUAAAGGGCGCGUAGGCGGCCCGAUAAGUAGGACGUGAAAUUCCGCGGCUCAACCGCGGAACUGCGUUCUAGACUGUCGGGCUUGAGCACGGUAGAGGCAGAUGGAAUUCCCGGUGUAGCGGUGGAAUGCGUAGAGAUCGGGAAGAACACCAGUGGCGAAGGCGGUCUGCUGGGCCGUUGCUGACGCUGAGGCGCGACAGCGUGGGGAGCAAACAGGAUUAGAUACCCUGGUAGUCCACGCCGUAAACGAUGGGCACUAGGCGUCGGGGGGAGCGACCCUCCCGGUGCCGUCGCUAACGCUGUAAGUGCCCCGCCUGGGGAGUACGGCCGCAAGGCUG